rnacentral:rRNA from 1 species
GACGAACGCUGGCGGCGUGCUAAACACAUGCAAGUCGAACGGUGAAAGCGGAGCUUGCUCCGCUGGAUCAGUGGCGAACGGGUGAGUAACACGUGGGCAACCUGCCCCUCACUUCGGGAUAACUCCGGGAAACCGGGGCUAAUACCGGAUAUGACCUCCUUGGGCAUCCUUGGAGGUGGAAAGUUUUUCGGUGAGGGAUGGGCCCGCGGCCUAUCAGCUUGUUGGUGAGGUAGUGGCUCACCAAGGCGACGACGGGUAGCCGGCCUGAGAGGGCGACCGGCCAAACUGGGACAGGGACACGGCCCGGACUCCUACGGGAGGCAGCAGUGGGGAAUAUUGCGCAAUGGGCGAAAGCCUGACGCAGCAACGCCGCGUGCGGGAUGACGGCCUUCGGGUUGUAAACCGCUUUCAGCAGGGAAGAAGCCGCAAGGUGACGGUACCUGCAGAAGAAGCACCGGCUAACUACGUGCCAGCAGCCGCCGUAA